rnacentral:lncRNA from 1 species
UCCGCAUGAGUUCUCUUGUUGAGUCUAAGAGAAAAGAUUUGCACUCGAAAAGAGAGUCGAGAUAGAGAGCCAUGUGAUUGCUUGUGCUUGGAUGCUUGCUUCUAUACAAGUGUCGUUUAAAGUCUUAGUACAUCGCUUGAGGACAAACAACGAAUUUAAGUUGAGGGUGUUGAUAUACCGUGAGUUUAUGAUAUUUUUAAUACAUGUCACUUAAGAGUUGUGUG